AGUCGGGCGGCAGCGCGGGAGCAAUCCUGGCGGCGAGCGGCGAACGGGUGAGUAAUGCUUCGGAAUCUACCCAGUAGUGGGGAAUAACCAGUCGAAAGACUGGCUAAUACCGCAUACGACCUAUGGGUGAAAGCGGGGGAUCGCAAGACCUCGCGCUAUUGGAUGAGCCGAAGUCGGAUUAGCUAGUUGGUGAGGUAACGGCUCACCAAGGCGACGAUCCGUAGCUGGUCUGAGAGGACGACCAGCCACACUGGGACUGAGACACGGCCCAGACUCCUACGGGAGGCAGCAGUGGGGAAUAUUGGACAAUGGGGGCAACCCUGAUCCAGCGACGCCGCGUGUGUGAAGAAGGCCUGCGGGUUGUAAAGCACUUUUAGUGGGGAGGAAACGCUCAGACCUAACACGUCUGGGAAUUGACUUAACCCAAAGAAAAAGCACCGGCUAACUCUGUGCCAGCAGCCGCGGUAAUACAGAGGGUGCAAGCGUUAAUCGGAAUUACUGGGCGUAAAGCGUGCGUAGACGGUUAUCUAAGUCGGAUGUGAAAUCCCCGGGCUCAACCUGGGAAUUGCAUUCGAGACUGAAUAGCUAGGGUUCGGAAGAGGGAAGCGGAAUUUCCGGUGUAGCGGUGAAAUGCGUAGAUAUCGGAAGGAACAUCAGUGGCGAAAGCGGCUUCCUGGUCCAGAACCGACGUUCAGGCACGAAAGCGUGGGGAGCAAACAGGAUUAGAUACCCUGGUAGUCCACGCCAUAAACGAUGAGAACUAGACGUUGAGAGGGUCUGCCUCCCAGUGUCGCAGCUAACGCGUUAAGUUCUCCGCCUGGGGAGUACGGCCGCAAGGGUUGAAACUCAAAGGAAUUGACGG
rnacentral:rRNA from 1 species